UUUUAGCAUCUGCUUUUGUGUAUACGGACUCUGUGUGGACAGGAGCCAGCCCCCCCCAAAGCUGAUAGCAGUCUUUCUUCCAUUGAUGUCAAUGAGCUUAGAUCAGAGCACAAGUCCUGUGAGUGAUCAAAGACAGUUCUACAUAAAAAAGACUUCCUUUUCCAGGUGCUACAGUGGCAACUCCCAACCUAUGCUGAAACAACCAAAUGCUUCAGAGUUUCCAGAGUCAUUCCCAUCCUGGCCUUUCAGUUCACUAAAAAAGAGAAAUAAACAGUGAAACUGAGGCUCACACUUUCUCUCCAAGCACACCUGAGUUUUGGACUCUCGCUGCAGGACAGAGCAGCCAUCCCUGAACCAGCUCCUGGGGGAUGCUCUGCUCUCCCCAUGCCAUCGGGGAGGUAACAGCUACGCACCUCCUGGCUCAGCCCGCACACGUGCUGCAGUAAUUGUGGCUUCAGUUUGCAAAGCUGUGGUCAGGGGGAAAGCUUAUAAGUGAGAGGUGCAGAGGUACCUCGCCGCUCCCUUGUGGUUUCCCUUUCGCGUAGGACACAGCACAGUGCCAGUGUGCAAAGAGAGGUGAGUUUGGGCAGAGGCUGGUUGUAGGUUACCAAGGCAAGUUCCUCAACACAAAGUAUGGGUCAAACACCAGGAUGGCUGCCAGAACUGAAAUAACCCUGAUAGACCAGCUGUAAUGAACAAAUUGGCAUGAGUGUAUUUUCUCCAAAGCAACGAGAAGACUAUUAGUUAGAUAAGAUGGUCUUCAUAACCUUUUUCUAAUCUGACUAAUCAACACACCAAAUUCUCUUUCCUUGCUGAUCCUAGAAACUCAGAGGAAGGAGAAUAUUGUAUCUGUGACAGACCUGGAUCUCUACAGUGGGGCUGAUAACAGGAUACCUGUUUUGGCACUAGCUUUAGUUUUGGUGACUUGUAUGGCUCCCACCAACACCUCAGGAAGAUUGCUACUUCUGGGAAGGGUGCAAAACAUUAAGGGAAAUCUAAAAAGGGACCAAGUUGUUUCAAGACAAUAAAGCUGAUUCUGUGGCCA
ensembl:lncRNA